AGUGAACGCUGGCGGUAGGCCUAACACAUGCAGGUCGAACGGCAGCACAGUAAGAGCUUGCUCUUACGGGUGGCGAGUGGCGGACGGGUGAGGAAUACAUCGGAAUCUACUUUUUCGUGGGGGAUAACGUAGGGAAACUUACGCUAAUACCGCAUACGACCUACGGGUGAAAGCAGGGGAUCUUCGGACCUUGCGCGAUUGAAUGAGCCGAUGUCGGAUUAGCUAGUUGGCGGGGUAAAGGCCCACCAAGGCGACGAUCCGUAGCUGGUCUGAGAGGAUGAUCAGCCACACUGGAACUGAGACACGGUCCAGACUCCUACGGGAGGCAGCAGUGGGGAAUAUUGGACAAUGGGCGCAAGCCUGAUCCAGCCAUACCGCGUGGGUGAAGAAGGCCUUCGGGUUGUAAAGCCCUUUUGUUGGGAAAGAAAAGCAGCAGGUUAAUACCCCACUGUUCUGACGGUACCCAAAGAAUAAGCACCGGCUAACUUCGUG
rnacentral:rRNA from 1 species